AUGACUGUCCCCACUUAUCUCCUGGGGUUGCUGCUGCUCUGGCUUACAGGUGCCAGAUGUGACAUCCAAAUGUCCCAGUCUCCAACUUCUCUAUCUGCAUCUCUGGGAGAAAGUGUCACCAUCACAUGCCUGGCAAGUCAGGACAUUGGCUGGGAUUUAGCAUGGCAUCAGCAGAAACCAGGAAAACCUCCUAAGCAACUGAUCUAUGCUGGAGAUAGUUUGGCAGAUGGGGUCCCAUCGAGGUUCAGUGGCAGUAAAUCUGGCACACAGUUUUCUCUCAAGAUUGGUAGUGUGCAGCCUGAAGAUAUGGCAGCUUAUUUCUGUCAGCAGGGUUACAGUACCCCACCCACAGUGAUUCAAGCCAUAACAUAA